rnacentral:rRNA from 1 species
CCCUGGGGCCUGGCUGGCCGGUCCCCCUCACCGGGUGCCCUGAUCCAGCCGGGCUUUUCCCUCGGUGGAACCCCAUGGCCUUCACUGGCUGGGGCGGGGAAACAGGACUUUUACUUUAAAAAAAUUAGAGGGCUCCAGGCAGGCCUAUGCUCGAAUACAUUAGCAUGAAAUAAUAGAAUGGGACGUGUGGUUCUAUUUUGUUGGUUUCUAGGACCGCCGUAAUGAUUAAUAGGGACAGUCGGGGGCAUCAGUAUUCAAUUGUCAGAGGUGAAAUUCUUGGAUCUAUUGAAGACUAACUACUGCGAAAGCAUUUGCCAAGGAUGUUUUCAUUGAUAAGGAACGAAAGUUAGGGGAUCGAAGACGAUCAGAUACCGUCGUAGUCUUAACUAUAAACUAUGCCGACUAGGGAUCGGACGAU